rnacentral:rRNA from 1 species
GACAGAGGUGCCAAGCGUUUAGGCGGAAUCACUGGGCUUAAAGCGUGUGUAGGCGGACGUCUAAGUACCUUGUGAAAUCCCCGGCUCAACCGGGGAACUGCUGGGUAUACUGGGCGUCUUGGGCCAACUAGGGGCUGCCGGAACAAAUGGUGGAGCGGUGAAAUGCGUAGAUAUCGGAAAGAACACCAACGGCGAAAGCACUCUGCUGGGCCGACACUGACACUGAGAGACGAAAGCUAGGGGAGCGAAUGGG